GACGAACGCUGGCGGCGUGCUUAACUCAUGCAAGUCGAACGGAAAGGCCCUGCUUUUGUGGGGCGCUCGAGUGGCGAACGGGUGAGUAACACGUGAGUAACCUGCCCUUGACUUUGGGAUAACUUCAGGAAACUGGGGCUAAUACCGGAUAGGAGCUCCUGCUGCAUGGUGGGGGUUGGAAAGUUUCGGCGGUUGGGGAUGGACUCGCGGCUUAUCAGCUUGUUGGUGGGGUAGUGGCUUACCAAGGCUUUGACGGGUAGCCGGCCUGAGAGGGUGACCGGCCACAUUGGGACUGAGAUACGGCCCAGACUCCUACGGGAGGCAGCAGUGGGGAAUAUUGCACAAUGGGCGGAAGCCUGAUGCAGCAACGCCGCGUGCGGGAUGACGGCCUUCGGGUUGUAAACCGCUUUCGCCUGUGACGAAGCGUGAGUGACGGUAAUGGGUAAAGAAGCACCGGCUAACUACGUG
rnacentral:rRNA from 1 species